ACAUUUAUGUCACACCUUGUCCAAAAAGUGACGUUUCUGCAACAGGGAGGUGGUUACUACAGAUGUAAUGGCCGACUAGUGUUUGUAAAUAUCGUCUAUCGACUGGAUUUUUUGACAGUUCAAGGAUCCACGUUGUCAGAAGUCACAUAAGACGACACAUACAAGGACAUACAAGAAGAACAAUUUACACAUUUUCCAAGUUUCAGCCAUUAAAAUUCGAGAAAUAACGAAGAUACCUCUGUUAAUAAAAUGAGUGACAAUUCAGAUCCUUGUGAAUACUUUUGGAGUCACGAAUUUCUCGUACAACGUCUACUUUAUAUUCUACGGCAAUCACAAGAUCACUGUUCGGAUAUUGAAUGUUACAGUUUAUCAAGACUACCAGGACCACCUCCUGUAGAGUCGACGUCUUCUGAUUUUUUUCUAACAGGUUUAUUUCUUGCAUUUGUCCUUGUAAUGUAUAUUACCGGACCAAGAAUUUUUCAAAAUCAACAAUUUGGAUUUUUGACUAAAAAUCGAGAUAACAUAUCCGAUAUGGAUGAUGAUCUUCCACCACCCCCACCUGCAGGAAAUUAAAAGCGCACACUAAUAAUGGAUGGUAUAGAGAAAUUUUUCUUUUAUUAUAAUAGCUGGCUAUUUUUUAAACGGCAAAAACAACAAUAUUGCUUAAUAAUUGAUUAAUCAUGAAUCGGAAGAAUGAUGAUCUGAGAAUAUUUCUUUUUUUUUCUUUUUCCAUGCAGAAAUAUAUUUGAAAGAUUCAGUAUUAAUUUUCGAAUGGUAUAAAUACUAUGUUUAUAUAUAUAUACAUAUACAUAUGAAAAGAAAACAUUUUAAUAGGAAUUAUACAUAUAUUUUAUUCUAUUCUUUUUUCCCCUUUGUUUACUUCAUUUCUUCUUACUAAUGCUUAUUAUUACAUAUUGUAUAUGAGGGGGGUUUAUAUACAGUGUGUACAGAAAUAAUGUAAAAUAUUAGCACUAAUAAUGAUAAUAAAUGUAAAGAAAUCUUAAAAUUUAAUAUUACAUAUUAAAUAUAACAUGUGUGAUUGUAUAGCAAAAUGGGAUGAUAUUUAAAAAUUACUAUAAAGAAAUUAUUUUCUCAUGAAAGAUUUAUUAUGCAAGUUAUUCUUUCCAUUCUAAUAAUCGCAUAUGGACAGUAAUCCUAAUAUAAUAUAUAAUGAUUGAUCAUA